rnacentral:rRNA from 1 species
GACGAACGCUGGCGGCGUGCUUAACACAUGCAAGUCGAACGGAAAGGCCCUGCUUUUGUGGGGUGCUCGAGUGGCGAACGGGUGAGUAACACGUGAGUAACCUGCCCUUGACUUUGGGAUAACUUCAGGAAACUGGGGCUAAUACCGGAUAGGAGCUCCUGCUGCAUGGUGGGGGUUGGAAAGUUUCGGCGGUUGGGGAUGGACUCGCGGCUUAUCAGCUUGUUGGUGGGGUAGUGGCUUACCAAGGCUGUGACGGGUAGCCGGCCUGAGAGGGUGACCGGCCACAUUGGGACUGAGAUACGGCCCAGACUCCUACGGGAGGCAGCAGUGGGGAAUAUUGCACAAUGGGCGGAAGCCUGAUGCAGCAACGCCGCGUGCGGGAUGACGGCCUUCGGGUUGUAAACCGCUUUCGCCUGUGACGAAGCGUGAGUGACGGUAAUGGAUAAAGAAGCAACGGCUAACUACGUG